rnacentral:rRNA from 1 species
UGAGGAAUAUUGGUCAAUGGGCGGAAGCCUGAACCAGCCAAGUAGCGUGAGGGAUGACUGCCCUAUGGGUUGUAAACCUCUUUUAUGUGAGGAUAAAUGAUGGUACGUGUACCGUUUUGCAGGUAUCACAUGAAUAAGGACCGGCUAAUUCCGUGCCAGCAGCCGCGGUAAUACGGAAGGUCCGAGCGUUAUCCGGAUUUAUUGGGUUUAAAGGGAGCGUAGGCCGCCUUUUAAGCGUGUUGUGAAAUGUAGACGCUCAACGUCUGAAUUGCAGCGCGAACUGGAGGGCUUGAGUGCGCGGUAAGCAGGCGGAAUUUGUGGUGUAGCGGUGAAAUGCUUAGAUAUCACGAAGAACUCCGAUUGCGAAGGCAGCUUGCUGUAGCGUUACUGACGCUGAAGUUCGAAAGCGCGGGUAUCGAACAGGAUUAGAUACCCUGGUAGU